AUUCCACUACAGUUAAUUAAGGAGCACUCCGCACGUGCCUACAGAUGCGAGGGGGUAAAUGAAUUUGGUGUGAAUGGGAGGGGUGAUAUUUCAAAGGUGGAACUGAAAGAGCUGUAAAUCUAUUUCCUGACUCCGGCUUGACGGUCAUUUCUGAAUCACUGGACUGUUGCUAUCAAAGUGCCGGAGCAGGGGGAGACGGAGUCAGUGGAGUUCCCUCCUCGAGCCAGAUUCAGAGUUAUUGGAUGGGAUCAGCAUGAGCAGCAUUAUGGAUGGAUUUGUGUCUUUCUACUGAGAUAUUUAUUUACUCUUUUUUGGCUUGCUCAGAUGUGUCCUGUCAUGUCCUGGCUGCUCUGCCUGGGCCUCUGGGUCAGUGUGACUGCCAUCCAGCUGUGUCAGGCCACGUUCUACGACACCAUCCAACAGCAUCAUGGGACGCGGCCUGGACGAACCACCAUCCACAUGAUCGAGGGGGGCACAUGUGAAGUAAUUGCUGCUCACAGAUGCUGUAAUAAGAAUCGUAUCGAGGAACGGUCACAGACGGUCAAGUGUUCCUGUCUGCCAGGGAAGGUGGCUGGAACCACCAGGAACAGACCUUCAUGUGUUGACGCAUCCAUAGUAAUUGGGAAGUGGUGGUGUGAGAUGGAGCCUUGCCUGGAGGGGGAGGAAUGCAAGACGCUCCCUGACAACUCGGGCUGGAUGUGCUACGCCGGCAACAAGAUCAAAACCACGAGGAACACUCAGCCAUACACAACAUCAACUUAUUAACACGUUGUGGAGAGAGGAUGCAGGGAAAUGCCUCUGGUGCAAGAGUUAAUUUGCAGGACCAAUUACCACGAAGACAAUGAACUUAUUGUUGCUUUGAGAAAUGUGAACACUUCUCAGAUUCAAGUGUAAAAAAAAGAUGUAGAAUGCAUCGAGCACAUCGUUCUCCAGGCUUCUGAAAAUACUGACGCUCCAAGCCGCCUGCGGGGAACUUCAUCAUAACCUUGUAAUGAGUUUAGUUUCAUCAUUUCUUUCUAACUGUGAGAUGGAACACGAAUGUCUGCAUUUGGAUUUAUGUCUGGACGGCAGCUGACGUCCCCCCUCACACAUUACGUGAGACAGAUGGGAAGCGACAAACAGAAGAGGAAUUCGUGGUGGACACGGGGACAAGAAGGAAGGAGAAGACGGAACAGUGGUUGACAGCCCUCAGGAUUUCCUUUCUUUCUUUUUUUUAAUUCUAAGAGGAAAAAUAUUGUACAUACAUUGUUUGUCAUUUCUCGUGUACAUAACAACUCUAUUUGUGGUGGUGGUGAAUUAUCGAUCAUUCAAUUCCCGAAUGCAUUGUUGAUCGUUCCUCUUCUUACCCACAAGAACACAACGCAGCCGAACUUUUGAGUUCUCGGGCGUGACGUGAAGACAAAACAGAUGCAUUGUGGGAGAGGUAUUUUACAAAUUAAAGCUUGUGUGUCUUGAUACUGUACAUUUUGCCACUUGUUUGUAUGGUACUAGUUUGCCUUUGGUCACCUCUUUAAUGACUCCUGUCGGUCAUUAACAUGUCAGCUAACCUGAGACGGAUUA